rnacentral:rRNA from 1 species
ACGGUAACAGGCCGCAAGGNGCUGACGAGUGGCGAACGGGUGAGUAAUGCAUCGGAACGUGCCCAGUCGUGGGGGAUAACUGCUCGAAAGAGCAGCUAAUACCGCAUACGAUCUAUGGAUGAAAGCGGGGGACCGUAAGGNCUCGCGCGAUUGGAGCGGCCGAUGUCAGAUUAGGUAGUUGGUGGGGUAAAGGCUCACCAAGCCAACGAUCUGUAGCUGGUCUGAGAGGACGACCAGCCACACUGGGACUGANACACGGCCCAGACUCCUACGGGAGGCAGCAGUGGGGAAUUUUGGACAAUGGGGGCAACCCUGAUCCAGCA